rnacentral:rRNA from 1 species
AUUGAACGCUGGCGGCAUGCCUUACACAUGCAAGUCGAACGGUAACAGGUCUUCGGAUGCUGACGAGUGGCGAACGGGUGAGUAAUACAUCGGAACGUGCCCGAUCGUGGGGGAUAACGAGGCGAAAGCUUUGCUAAUACCGCAUACGAUCUACGGAUGAAAGCGGGGGAUCUUCGGACCUCGCGCGGACGGAGCGACCGAUGGCAGAUUAGGUAGUUGGUGGGAUAAAAGCUUACCAAGCCGACGAUCUGUAGCUGGUCUGAGAGGAUGAUCAGCCACACUGGGACUGAGACACGGCCCAGACUCCUACGGGAGGCAGCAGUGGGGAAUUUUGGACAAUGGGCGAAAGCCUGAUCCAGCCAUGCCGCGUGCAGGAUGAAGGCCUUCGGGUUGUAAACUGCUUUUGUACGGAACGAAAAGCCUCUUUCUAAUAAAGAGGGGUCAUGACGGUACCGUAAGAAUAAGCACCGGCUAACUACGUG